UCUCUGGGCCGUUACUGACGCUGAGGAGCGAAAGCGUGGGGAGCGAACAGGAUUAGAUACCCUGGUAGUCCACGCCGUAAACGGUGGAUGCUGGAUGUGGGGCCCUUUUCCGGGUCCUGUGUCGGAGCUAACGCGUUAAGCAUCCCGCCUGGGGAGUACGGCCGCAAGGCUAAAACUCAAAGAAAUUGACGGGGGCCCGCACAAGCGGCGGAGCAUGCGGAUUAAUUCGAUGCAACGCGAAGAACCUUACCUGGGCUUGACAUGUGCCGGACGCCUGCGGAGACGUGGGUUCCCUUCGGGGCCGGUUCACAGGUGGUGCAUGGUCGUCGUCAGCUCGUGUCGUGAGAUGUUGGGUUAAGUCCCGCAACGAGCGCAACCCUCGCCGCGUGUUGCCAGCGGGUCAUGCCGGGAACUCACGUGGGACCGCCGGGGUUAACUCGGAGGAAGGUGGGGAUGACGUCAGAUCAUCAUGCCCCUUACGUCCAGGGCUUCACGCAUGCUACAAUGGCCGGUACAACGGGGUGCGACACGGUGACGUGGGGCGGAUCCCUGAAAACCGGUCUCAGUUCGGAUCGCAGUCUGCAACUCGACUGCGUGAAGGUGGAGUCGCUAGUAAUCGCGGAUCAGCAACGCCGCGGGAA
rnacentral:rRNA from 1 species